GCGUCCAGCGCAAAAGUCAGAUGAGGCCCAGCCCCAGAUAUGAGUUCAUCUAUAGUAUGAGGGUCCUAGGGGACUGAGGCAGACGAACUCUUGGAACCGCUAGAGACGGAGGUGCCAGAAGACAUUUCAGGCAAAAAUCCUAAAAAUCUCAGAAAAAUCGAGAGAAAUAAGAGACGAAAGGUCUAUGGGAAACCAGGCA
rnacentral:lncRNA from 1 species